UGCCAGCAGCCGCGGUAAUACGGAGGGUCCAAGCGUUAUCCGGAAUCAUUGGGUUUAAAGGGUUCGCAGGCGGUUAAUUAAGUCAGUGGUGAAAUCUCGGGGCUCAACUCCGAAACUGCCAUUGAUACUGAUUGACUUGAAUUAAGUUGGAGUAGGCGGAAUGUGUAGUGUAGCGGUGAAAUGCUUAGAUAUUACACAGAACACCGAUAGCGAAGGCAGCUUACUAAACUUAUAUUGACGCUCAUGAACGAAAGCGUGGGGAGCGAACAGGAUUAGAUA
rnacentral:rRNA from 1 species